rnacentral:rRNA from 1 species
CAGUCGCCGCGGUAAUACGGAGGGGGCUAGCGUUGUUCGGAAUUACUGGGCGUAAAGCGCACGUAGGCGGCUUGGUAAGUUAGAGGUGAAAGCCCGGAGCUCAACUCCGGAAUUGCCUUUAAGACUGCCGAGCUAGUAGGUGAGAGAGGUAAGUGGAAUUCCGAGUGUAGAGGUGAAAUUCGUAGAUAUUCGGAAGAACACCAGUGGCGAAGGCGGCUUACUGGCUCAUACUGGACGCUGAGGUGCGAAAGCGUGGGGAGCAAACAGGAUUAGAUACCCGAGUAGUCCCUGUCUCUUAUAC